UGGUCAUAACUUAAUAAAUUAUGGUCACAAUUGCAUUUUUUAGGUUACAUGACACAAAUUACUGGUCACAAACACCCCCUACAUCCCAUCCCAUCCCAUCUCAUCUCAUCUACCUCGACCACACCCGCCACUACAACCGUCAUAGUAACCACACCACCACCAUCCACCAAACUCCGAAACCAACAACCUCUAUCGUCGCCAAAAACCACCACAACCACCGCCACCAAACACACUAACAAUACUCUUCACAACCUCACCAACACCACCCAAACGUAAAUUUUCAACUAGUUCCCCCCACUAGAACCACCACCACCUCAACACAUCGUAGAACACCAACAUACCACAAUCAUCACCGCACCUACUUCCACAACCACCACCGUCGACCAUCACCGCCAACACCAAAAUAUGUAAGUAGCCACCACCACCACCCAAAUAUAAUCAAAAAAUACCACAGACAACAACUUAAUCCAAAGCCAUUCCCACCUCCACCACCACAGCGAACAUCACCACCAUCGUAGCCACUACCACCACCAUAUGAUCGUAGCCACCACCACAACCCACAACACAGCAAUAAACCAUGGUCUCAUCUCAAAAUAUCUGCUUCUCUUCUUGCAAAUCUUACAGAUCUGCUUCACGAAUCACGAGGUACAUCAGGCGACUUGGCCUUGAAGCGACCUAUGAUAGAGGUGGUGAUGUUCAGCUGCUUCUCAAGGCUUCAUUUCGGCAGGGGUCACUUUCUGGUAGGGAGACAGGUGAGAACAUAGAGAGAGAAUUGUCGAUUUUCGACGAUGAAGACGGCAAUCAGAAACGAGACGCACACAACUAUGAUGUUCGAUGGAUAUGGAGAGAGUGAAGGGAGUUGAUUGUCGACUACUGUGAGUGAGGGAGGUAGAGAGAGAAAUGAGAGAGGAGGGUUUGCGUUGAAUUUUCAAUUUUGGUUGAAUUAUUAAUAUUAAUUAUUGCAUAAAUAAAUUUUAUCUCUGAUUUUUGAAAUUGA
rnacentral:lncRNA from 1 species